GCGCGAGUGGCGGAAUUGGCAGACGCGCAGCGUUGAGGUCGCUGUGCCCGAAAGGGCGUGGGGGUUCAAGUCCCCCCUCGCGCA
rnacentral:tRNA from 1 species